AAAUUGAAGAGUUUGAUCAUGGCUCAGAUUGAACGCUGGCGGCAGGCCUAACACAUGCAAGUCGAACGGUAGCACAGAGAGCUUGCUCUCGGGUGACGAGUGGCGGACGGGUGAGUAAUGUCUGGGAAACUGCCUGAUGGAGGGGGAUAACUACUGGAAACGGUAGCUAAUACCGCAUAAUGUCGCAAGACCAAAGAGGGGGACCUUCGGGCCUCUUGCCAUCAGAUGUGCCCAGAUGGGAUUAGCUAGUAGGUGGGGUAACGGCUCACCUAGGCGACGAUCCCUAGCUGGUCUGAGAGGAUGACCAGCCACACUGGAACUGAGACACGGUCCAGACUCCUACGGGAGGCAGCAGUGGGGAAUAUUGCACAAUGGGCGCAAGCCUGAUGCAGCCAUGCCGCGUGUAUGAAGAAGGCCUUCGGGUUGUAAAGUACUUUCAGCGGGGAGGAAGGUGUUGAGGUUAAUAACCUUAGCAAUUGACGUUACCCGCAGAAGAAGCACCGGCUAACUCCGUGCCAGCAGCCGCGGUAAUACGGAGGGUGAAAGCGUUAAUCGGAAUUAAUUGUCGUCAAGCGCACGCAGGCGGUCAGUCAAGUCGGAUGUGAAAUCCCCGGGCUCAACCUGGGAACUGCAUUCGAAACUGGCAGGCUAGAGUCUUGUAGAGGGGGGUAGAAUUCCAGGUGUAGCGGUGAAAUGCGUAGAGAUCUGGAGGAAGACCGGUGGCGAAGGCGGCCCCCUGGACAAAGACUGACGCUCAGGUGCGAAAGCGUGGGGAGCAAACAGGAUUAGAUACCCUGGUAGUCCACGCCGUAAACGAUGUCGACUUGGAGGUUGUGCCCUUGAGGCGUGGCUUCCGGAGCUAACGCGUUAAGUCGACCGCCUGGGGAGUACGGCCGCAAGGUUAAAACUCAAAUGAAUUGACGGGGGCCCGCACAAGCGGUGGAGCAUGUGGUUUAAUUCGAUGCAACGCGAAGAACCUUACCUACUCUUGACAUCCAGAGAACUUAGCAGAGAUGCUUUGGUGCCUUCGGGAACUCUGAGACAGGUGCUGCAUGGCUGUCGUCAGCUCGUGUUGUGAAAUGUUGGGUUAAGUCCCGCAACGAGCGCAACCCUUAUCCUUUGUUGCCAGCGGUCCGGCCGGGAACUCAAAGGAGACUGCCAGUGAUAAACUGGAGGAAGGUGGGGAUGACGUCAAGUCAUCAUGGCCCUUACGAGUAGGGCUACACACGUGCUACAAUGGCGCAUACAAAGAGAAGCGACCUCGCGAGAGCAAGCGGACCUCAUAAAGUGCGUCGUAGUCCGGAUUGGAGUCUGCAACUCGACUCCAUGAAGUCGGAAUCGCUAGUAAUCGUGGAUCAGAAUGCCACGGUGAAUACGUUCCCGGGCCUUGUACACACCGCCCGUCACACCAUGGGAGUGGGUUGCAAAAGAAGUAGGUAGCUUAACCUUCGGGAGGGCGCUUACCACUUUGUGAUUCAUGACUGGGGUGAAGUCGUAACAAGGUAACCGUAGGGGAACCUGCGGUUGGAUCACCUCCUUACCUUAAAGAA
rnacentral:rRNA from 1 species